AUUGGACAAAGAGGAAAAACAUUACCUGAUACCUUUGUGACUUACAGUCUACAGAACUCAAGCCAACAGAACCAUGUCUGGAGUCAAGGGACAGAAGAAAUGCCCAGACCCAUGCCCAGAGCCUUGCCCACCACCAUGCCCUCCACCUCAGCAAUGCCAGGAUCCCUGUGACCCAUGCCCCAAGCCAGUUCCACAAUGCCAAGAUCCCUGUAAACCGGCUCCACAGCAGUGUCAGCAGGAUGUGAAAUGUGUGAAGAAGUGUUAAUAAGAAGGAACCGUGUUAUGGAGAAAAUGUCCAUUGCUUGACCCGAAUGACCCACCUACUCUGAUCAUCUAAAUAUUUUAACUUAAUUGCGCUGUAUGUGAUUUCUAUGUGAAAGCUUGUAUCUUGUAGUAAAGAUGAAUUUUACAAUUUGUCACUGAGCCAAAAAAUCUGGAUUAAAAUUGAAUCUGAAUCAAACUG